AUUGAACGCUGGCGGCAUGCUUUACACAUGCAAGUCGAACGGCAGCACGGGGGCAACCCUGGUGGCGAGUGGCGAACGGGUGAGUAAUAUAUCGGAACGUACCCGGAAAUGGGGGAUAACGUAGCGAAAGUUACGCUAAUACCGCAUAUGCCCUAAGGGGGAAAGCGGGGGAUUCGCAAGAACCUCGCGUUUUCGGAGCGGCCGAUAUCGGAUUAGCUAGUAGGUGAGGUAAAGGCUCACCUAGGCGACGAUCCGUAGCUGGUCUGAGAGGACGACCAGCCACACUGGAACUGAGACACGGUCCAGACUCCUACGGGAGGCAGCAGUGGGGAAUUUUGGACAAUGGGCGCAAGCCUGAUCCAGCCAUGCCGCGUGAGUGAAGAAGGCCUU
rnacentral:rRNA from 1 species